rnacentral:rRNA from 1 species
UACGAGAGGCCCAAACGUUUUUCGGAAUUACUGGGCUUAAAGAGUUCGUAGGCGGCAUGAAAAGCAGGGUGUGAAAGCCCUCGGCUCAACCGAGGAAUUGCGCUCUGAACUGUCGUGCUUGAGGAACCUAGAGGUGAGCAGAACAGAUGGUGGAGCGGUGAAAUGCGUUGAUAUCAGCUGGAAUACCAGAGGCGAAGGCGGCUCACUGGGGGUUUUCUGACGCUGAGGAACGAAAGCCAGGGUAGCGAACGGG